UCCUGUCCCAGAUGAGGCGGGGUACACCCUGGACAGGUUUCUAAUUCUUUUUCAAAUUGUCCAUUCCCAGUCAUCUUUAUUGACUUCCUUCACCAUUUCACAAGCUGCUCACACCCCCUCCAGCAGCAGUGGUGGCCUUUCAGUUAUUUUUGAGCGAGGGCCACUGUCAGAGAGCCCCCCAUGGCGAAGAAGAUCACAGCCUGGUGUUCUACAAACUGCGAAGAGACCUAGAUAGAGAGCUCCCCACAUACGUCCUCAUCUGUAGACAUGAGACCACGGAGCCCUGAUUUGACUUAUUUUCUUUUACAUUACUUCACCGCUAGUAUGUAUGAAGUAGAUUGGUUCAUUUUGUUAUUUGUCAGUUCAUCUGUAUUCUUAGCUUUUAAUACUAGUGUGUUGUUGUUUUUGUUUCCAAUCUGUAUUCUCUGUGUGCCUGGGGUUUUAUUCCCUUUUGGAUUUAUUAAUAAUUUGGAUUAUCUGCUCAGCAUAGUGGCACCUUUUAUUCCUUUUUUCAGUACACUUUUUUUUCUCUACUAGAUCUACUCUUCAUUACAUAAUACAUUAACAAUAAAUCUAUUUUCAUUU